AAAAUUCUAUGUGAAAAAUUUUACAAAUAAAUAAAUUUUUUAUGGUUUAUAAAUUUUAUUUUAAGUUUAUUUUACAUGUAAAUUUUAGUGUUGUAUAUUAAUUAUUUAAAUAAUAUUUAAUUUUUAAUACAGUAAUUAAUAUUAAAAAUUUAAGAAAUUAAGAUUUAGUAAUAUUUAAAUUAAUAACUAAUUUUGUGCCAGCAGUUGCGGUUAUACAAAAAUUAAUUUAAAAUUUUUUAGUUCUUAAUAAUUAAUAAAAUUUAAUAAUUUAAAUAAAAAAUUAUUAAGUGAAAUUUUAAUUUUAUAAAAAAUUAUUUAAUAAUUAUGAUUUAAUAAGUUUUAUAAAAAACUAGGAUUAGAUACCCUAUUAUUAAAAAAUUAAAUUUUUAAAGCUAAAAUAGUAGAUAAUUUAUUGAAACUUAAAUAAUUUGGCGGUAUUUUAGUUUAUUUAGAGGAAUCUGUUUAAUAAUUGAUAAUCCACGAAUAAAUUUACUUAAUUUAAAAUUUUGUAUAUCGUUGUUAAAAAAAUAUUUUUUAAUAAUAAAUAAUAUUUAAAAAUUUCAAUUAUAAGUUAAAUCAGAUCAAGAUGCAGAUUAUAAUUAAGAAUAUAAUGGAUUACAAUAAAUUUAUUUAAUUUGGAUUUUAAUGUGAAAAGAUUAAAUGAAAUUGGAUUUAAAUGUAAUUUUAUAAAAUUUUAUAAAAUGAUUUAUAAUUAAAAUAUGUACAUAUUGCCCGUCGCUUUCAUUUAUAAAUUGGAAUAAGUCGUAACAAAGUAGAGGUACUGGAAAGUGUUUCUAGAAAGAU
rnacentral:ncRNA from 1 species